CCUACGGGUGGCAGCAGUGAGGAAUAUUGGUCAAUGGUCGUAAGACUGAACCAGCCAAGUCGCGUGAGGGAUGAAGGUCCUAUGGAUUGUAAACCUCUUUUAUGCGGGGAUAAAAUGUGUCACGUGUGCUGUUUUGUAUGUACCUCAUGAAUAAGGAUCGGCUAAGUCCGUGCCAGCAGCCGCGGUAAUACGGAGGGUCCGAGCGUUAUCCGGAUUUAUUGGGUUUAAAGGGUGCGUAGGCGGCAUGUUAAGUCAGCGGUGAAAGUGUGUGGCUCAACCAUAGCAGUGCGGUUAAAACUGGGGGGCUUGAGUGGGCGUGAGGUAUGCGGAAUGCGUGGUGUAGCGGUGAAAUGCUUAGAUAUCACGCAGAACCCCGAUUGCGAAGGCAGCAU
rnacentral:rRNA from 1 species